GUAGUACCUGGAAGGCAGCCCAAGAAAAGUAAGUCAAAGUCUACAGUAAUCUAUCCCCAGCUGAGUUGCACACACCUGUUCUGUACCCUUCUCCUUCUGGAAUUACUUACAGAAUGACGCUUCAAGUAUGGUAAAAAAUUGUUGUCAGAUGACUGCUCACACUAAAAUCUGCAAGAGGGAUGUGACCAUGAAAGAAAAAUACACAGUAACCUUUCCAAAGUAUGCCCUUAAUUUCAGAAUCGUGCUUUCCCAGAGCUGAGCCUCCUUCUGCCAAGAAUGAACCUUUAUCAUGAUUGCUGUACUGAAAAGUGAGACACAGCUGAUGCUGAGACAGAGAUUUCUCAAGGCACUUCCCAGAUGGAAUCAUGGCCAAGCAUUCAGCACGCACCCGGAGGGGCAGACAGCAACCCGCUUUCUUCAGGAGUGUGAGUUGUUGCACUGAAGUCUCCCAGGUCCAGAAUAUGGUAUCAAGGGAGCAGGGAUUUGCCAUGAUGAAAAAACGAUGAAAUAAUCCUAUGUCCUACUGAGAAAAAGUAUAAUAAGCAGUGUUACACUGCAAAAGGGAUCUUCAUGAGCGCUGCUCAGUUUUCACAAAGGAAAAAAAAAUGCACAAAACUUUAUUGCAACUAGGUAUCAGAUUGUUGCCUCAGUCUUUAGCUGUUUUGACCAGUUCUACCAAAUUCUGAAUCCUCCCUCAAGUCUUGUAAUCUUCCCUGGAUACUACUUGAAAACUAUAUCCCUUACUCUUGCAAAUUUAACAAUGAGUUAGCAGACUACAAGCACUAGCUGAAGGAGUUUCUGAAGCAAACUCACUGCUUAGCUUUUUAGACUCCUUGAAAGUCAAAACCUUUGCUUUGCAUCCAAGAAACUGUCUACUCCAAAGUACAGGUCUGCAUCAUUCUUAUUUUUUCAUCUUAUUUUUAAAUGCCUUACAGCUUCCCUGUUUUUAGGUCAGUUUCUCAUUAAUUUCACGGAAUUCCUUUACAGAAGAAUUCUGUAUUAGAAAGGGAAGUGUGUACAUACAGAAUAAAUAAUGUGAAAAGGAGAAAAGUUGAAGCUUU
rnacentral:lncRNA from 1 species